rnacentral:rRNA from 1 species
AACGAACGCUGGCGGCAUGCCUAACACAUGCAAGUCGAACGAAGGCUUCGGCCUUAGUGGCGCUCGGGUGAGUAACGCGUGGGAACCUGCCCUUUGGUACGGAAUAACAUCGGGAAACUGAUGCUAAUACCGUAUAUGGCUUUGGCUGAAAGAUUUAUCGCCGAAGGAGGGGCCCGCGUCUGAUUAGCUAGUUGGUGAGGUAAUGGCUCACCAAGGCGACGAUCAGUAGCUGGUCUGAGAGGAUGAUCAGCCACACUGGGACUGAGACACGGCCCAGACUCCUACGGGAGGCAGCAGUGGGGAAUAUUGGACAAUGGGGGCAACCCUGAUCCAGCAAUGCCGCGUGAGUGAUGAAGGCCUUCGGGUUGUAAAGCUCUUUUGGCAGGGACGAUGAUGACGGUACCUGCAGAAUAAGCCCCGGCUAACUUCGUGCCAGCCGCCGCAGUAAAAC